GGAAGUGCAUACCAAUUGGUCCAUGGGUGACCACGGGCACCCAGAAAAGGAACCACAAGUCCCCGCUCCUGGCCUGUGAGUCUAGCAGCCCAGCCCCCAGCCAUGAGGCCCUCCCAGGCCUGAAGGUGAGGCCCUACCAGGGACGUGGCCCUUUCCACCCAGGAAUCUGUUUGCCUCCUGCUGCUGUUCAUGGCCUGCUGGGCUCAGCCCUACCUUUGCUCCAAGAUUAUGGUAGGCGACAACAACAGGGAGAAGCCAGGCAGCGGAAGCAGGCACUUCCAAGCCUGCAAAGGCAGGGGGGCACUUCUCAGGCUCCCAAGAGUGCAGGAAUGCCUGCGGCUGCAGUUGCUGAUUUGGGCAGCUGCAGUUGCAGGGGCAGGAGGAGGCUCCUGCCUGCUCCAUGGAGCAGGAGGCCUGGGUCUGCAGCCACGCUUUGGGCAGGUGCAGCGGCACCCGGGAAGGCAGGGCUCCUGCCUGCUCCUGGCCCCCCAAGAGCACAGAGAGGCUCAGAUCUGCAGCCACAACUUGGGCAGGGCUCCUGGCUGCCCUGUGGAGCAUGUAGCCCUGGCUGUGCCCCCUCACAGCCUGGGGAGGGGACUCCUGAUCCUCGCUGGGCCUGGGCUGGCAUCUGGGGUAGGGGCGACAUUGCCACAAGCUGCCUCAUUACCCCGGCACUCAGGGAUGGCCUAGGACAGAGUGGAUCACGGGCCCUGGGCCAGGCCAUUUGGAGUGACAGGUUUGGCAAUCACUCCAAUGCCCAGGUGGACACCAGGGAGGAGACCCCAGCGGCGCAGUGCAGAUCCUCCUCUUGAGCCCCAGGAACCUACCACCCUCAGCAACAUAAACUGGCCGUAAAAAAUAUGGGACAAUAAGUUGUGGAAAGCCACAGGAGGCCUCUGAUGAGGAAAGCCUUCUAAUUGCCAUCACGUUCCCAUGGCCAGAGCGUGACCUGCUCUCUUAUUUACAAGCACUGUGCUCAAGGAGAAAGACACUCCUUUGAAGCAUUGGAAUGUGGCCAGAUAUGCCAGCUCCUAGUUACGCCCACUCCCCACAGCUGCUCUCCAAUGAGUUAAAGAAUAAAUCAGUAGUUAAGUUUAUGCUGCUUCAGCACAAAGACAAUUUACCUAAACCGCCAUUGCUAUAGAUUAGGUGUAUGACACACUGCCCCCCUUUCACCGUUUCACCCCUGAAUAUCUGCUUCUCAGAUCUAAGUGAUUGUACUCAAUAGUGUGGAGACCAGAGUUUGGCACCUUUUGCAGCCUCCAAAAGUGCAGCUGGCCCCCUGGCACCCCACCCUUUAUGCACUCUUAAUCUGUCUCUUCUCAUUCCUUCGUCGCCACCGGACUUUGGGUACCCUACGGGUGGUGUUGAGGCUGGUCCCCAACACAAGGUGACAGCAGCCAUCCCA
rnacentral:lncRNA from 1 species